CCUACGGGAGUCAGCAGUAGGGAAUCUUCCACAAUGGGCGAAAGCCUGAUGGAGCAACGCCGCGUGGGUGAAGAAGGUCUUCGGAUCGUAACACCCUGUUGUUAGAGAAGCAAGUGCGUGAGAGUAACUGUUCACGUUUCGACGGUAUCUAACCAGAAAGCCACGGCUAACUCCGUGCCAGCAGCCGCGGUAAUACGGAGGUGGCAAGCGUUAUCCGGAUUUAUUGGGCGUAUAGGGAACGCAGGCGGUCUUUUAAGUCUGAUGUGAAAGCUUUCGGCUUAACCGGAGUAGUGCAUUGGAAACGGGGAGACUUGAGUGCAGAAGAGGAGAUGGGAACGCCAUGUGUAGCGGUGAAAUGCGUAGAUAUAUGGAAGAACACCAGUGGCGAAAGCGGCUCUCUGGUCUGUAACUGACGCUGAGGUUCGAAAGCGUGGGUAGCAAACAGGAUUAGAUACCCCGGUAGUC
rnacentral:rRNA from 1 species